rnacentral:sRNA from 1 species
GCCAGGCAUGAUGGUGAAAGCCUAUAAUCCUAGCUACAUGGGAGGCUGAGGCAGGAGGAUUGCAAAUUUGAGGCCAGCCUCAGCAGUUUAGCAAGACCCUGUCUCAA